rnacentral:rRNA from 1 species
UGGUGCAUUAACACUAGUAUGAUCGCACUCGAUCCCCAUCAGAACUCCAUAGUUAAGCGCGCUUGGGCUAGAGUAGUACUGGGAUGGGUGACCUCCCAGGAAUAUCUUCAAAUACUUUGG